GGUUAAGUGACUAAGCGUACACGGUGGAUGCCUAGGCAGUCAGAGGCGAUGAAGGGCGUGCUAAUCUGCGAAAAGCGUCGGUAAGGUGAUAUGAACCGUUACAACCGGCGAUACCCGAAUGGGGAAACCCAGUGUGUUUCGACACACUAUCAUGUCAUGAAUACAUAGUGGCAUGAGGCGAACCGGGGGAACUGAAACAUCUAAGUACCCCGAGGAAAAGAAAUCAACCGAGAUUCCCCCAGUAGCGGCGAGCGAACGGGGAGGAGCCCAGAACCUGAAUCGGCUUGUGUGUUAGUGGAAGCGUCUGGAAAGUCGCGCAGCAAAGGGUGAUAGCCCCGUACACUAAAAUGCACAGGUCGUGAGUUCGAUGAGUAGGGCGGGACACGUGACAUCCUGUCUGAAUAUGGGGGGACCAUCCUCCAAGGCUAAAUACUCCUGACUGACCGAUAGUGAACCAGUACCGUGAGGGAAAGGCGAAAAGAACCCCGGCGAGGGGAGUGAAAUAGAACCUGAAACCGUGUACGUACAAGCAGUGGGAGCACCUUCGUGGUGUGACUGCGUACCUUUUGUAUAAUGGGUCAGCGACUUAUAUUUUGUAGCAAGGUUAACCGUAUAGGGGAGCCGUAGGGAAACCGAGUCUUAACUGGGCGAUUAGUUGCAAGGUAUAGACCCGAAACCCGGUGAUCUAGCCAUGGGCAGGUUGAAGGUUGGGUAACACUAACUGGAGGACCGAACCGACUAAUGUUGAAAAAUUAGCGGAUGACUUGUGGCUGGGGGUGAAAGGCCAAUCAAACCGGGAGAUAGCUGGUUCUCCCCGAAAGCUAUUUAGGUAGCGCCUCGUGAACUCAUCUUCGGGGGUAGAGCACUGUUUCGGCUAGGGGGCCAUCCCGGCUUACCAAACCGAUGCAAACUCCGAAUACCGAAGAAUGUUAUCACGGGAGACACACGGCGGGUGCUAACGUCCGUCGUGAAGAGGGAAACAACCCAGACCGCCAGCUAAGGUCCCAAAGUCAUGGUUAAGUGGGAAACGAUGUGGGAAGGCAUAGACAGCCAGGAUGUUGGCUUAGAAGCAGCCAUCAUUUAAAGAAAGCGUAAUAGCUCACUGGUCGAGUCGGCCUGCGCGGAAGAUGUAACGGGGCUAAACCAUGCACCGAAGCUGCGGCAGCGACGCUUAGGCGUUGUUGGGUAGGGGAGCGUUCUGUAAGCCGUUGAAGGUGGCCUGUGAGGGUUGCUGGAGGUAUCAGAAGUGCGAAUGCUGACAUAAGUAACGAUAAAGCGGGUGAAAAGCCCGCUCGCCGGAAGACCAAGGGUUCCUGUCCAACGUUAAUCGGGGCAGGGUGAGUCGACCCCUAAGGCGAGGCUGAAAAGCGUAGUCGAUGGGAAACAGGUUAAUAUUCCUGUACUUGGUGUUACUGCGAAGGGGGGACGGAGAAGGCUAGGCUGGCCGGGCGACGGUUGUCCCGGUUUAAGCGUGUAGGGGGUGUGACCUGGUAAAUCCGGUUGCAUAUCAACCCUGAGGCGUGAUGACGAUGCACUACGGUGCAGAAGUAGUUGAUGCCCUGCUUCCAGGAAAAUCCUCUAAGCUCCAGGUAACAUUAAAUCGUACCCCAAACCGACACAGGUGGUCAGGUAGAGAAUACCAAGGCGCUUGAGAGAACUCGGGUGAAGGAACUAGGCAAAAUGGUGCCGUAACUUCGGGAGAAGGCACGCUGGCAUGUAGGUGAAGUCCCU
rnacentral:rRNA from 1 species